rnacentral:rRNA from 1 species
CAUGCAAGUCGAGCGAGCGGAACAACAGAUUACUUCGGUAAUGACGUUGGGAAAGCGAGCGGCGGAUGGGUGAGUAACACGUGGGGAACCUGCCCCUAAGUCUGGGAUACCAUUUGGAAACAGGUGCUAAUACCGGAUAAUAAAGCAGAUCGCAUGAUCAGCUUUUGAAAGGCGGCGUAAGCUGUCGCUAAGGGAUGGCCCCGCGGUGCAUUAGCUAGUUGGUAAGGUAACGGCUUACCAAGGCGACGAUGCAUAGCCGAGUUGAGAGACUGAUCGGCCACAUUGGGACUGAGACACGGCCCAAACUCCUACGGGAGGCAGCAGUAGGGAAUCUUCCACAAUGGACGCAAGUCUGAUGGAGCAACGCCGCGUGAGUGAAGAAGGUUUUCGGAUCGUAAAGCUCUGUUGUUGGUGAAGAAGGAUAGAGGUAGUAACUGGCCUUUAUUUGACGGUAAUCAACCAGAAAGUCACGGCUAACUACGUGCCAGCAGCCGCGGUAAUACGUAGGUGGCAAGCGUUGUCCGGAUUUAUUGGGCGUAAAGCGAGCGCAGGCCGGAAAAAUAAGUCUAAUGUGA